UACGUAGGGGGCGAGCGUUGUCCGAAGUUACUGGGCGUAAAGCGCGCGUAGGUGGUCAUUUAAGUCUGAGGUGAAAGGUUCAGCGCUCAACGUGAACAGUGCCUUGGAUACUGGGUGACUUGAGUUCGGGAGGGGGCUGUGGAAUUCCAGGUGUAGCGGUGAAAUGCGUAGAUAUCUGGAGGAACACCGAUGGCGAAGGCAGCAGCCUGGCCCAGAACUGACACUGAGGUGCGAAAGCGUGGGGAGCGAACGGG
rnacentral:rRNA from 1 species